GCACCCUCAAGCCUUGCUUGGUGUUGGGCGCUUGUCCCGCCGUCGCGCGCGGACUCGCCUGAAAUGAAUUGGCAGCCAGCCGCCUGGGCUCGGAGCGCAGCAGAAUCAGCGCAGCGAGACCCGGCGUCGCGGCGUCCACAAGCCCCUUUUUACCAC
rnacentral:misc_RNA from 2 species